rnacentral:piRNA from 1 species
CUGACCAACUGGCCACUAAAUUGGGAGU